AUGGGAAAGUCUAGGUUAGCAGAAGACUAUGCUUGUGCCACAAACUUGUUUCGAGAAAGAUAUCGUCCGAUUCUCCUUCUAUUGAUUCUUUUCCGAUCGAGAUGUACGGAUCCAUGUGUCUACAUGCAUAGAUUCUGUUCAUGGAUUAACGAAAAUGUGCAAGAGCUCUAUUUGCCUCUGCCAUUCUAUGAGUCGCUUCCUUUUUGCGUAUGGCACCCCCACUCCCUUUGGCAGCAUCUACUAAUUCGGACCUUAAUUUGA
rnacentral:rRNA from 1 species